GCUAUUUUGACAUACAUUGACAGCGGUCAAAGUCCAUUGCGAUUUCUUGCUUACCGAGCACCGAUGAUCUUCGGGUCGAGAUUUGCAUCGACAGCACAGUAUUCAGAAAUGGCGGAUUUUCGUGUCCGCUGACUCAAAACAGCUUUAGCCCACAAAUGAGGCCAAAAGCAACCUGAGCACUGACAAGCCUGAGAUGGAAACUCACCGAGAUUGGCAAUGAAUUCAAAGAUUUCUGAAUAUUACAACUGGAAUGCUGUAAAAUUUGAAGCACAAAAUGUUCUGCUGUAAGUAUGUGUAUAACGACUAUAAAAUUUUACUAGAAUGCAAGAAAAUAUUUAGUAUACAUGGGCAUUUAGUGCAUUUAAAAUAUUUAGUAUACAUGGGCAUUUAGUGCAUUUAAGAUGUUUAGUACACAUGGCGGAGGCUAAAUGUUUUAUUUAAGGGACUUAGUAUGGGUCUUGCUGGAAUAUUGUUGCUUCAUUGAGAUAAAAUUGCCUGAUUGGACCUGAAAUUUGAUAUACUGUUACUUUAUGUAGAGUUUGGACAAUAUUAUUAACAAAUUUCAAUGACAUAGAGGCUUAUAAUGGCAAUCGUUGCCUUACCUGAUUGGCUGAAGAAAGAAAAUAAUUCUUUAUGGUGAAAUAAAGCCUUGAGAUAUUUAUCAUUUUAGAAAUAUAUCUGGUGCCUAUUUGAAUUUGAUAAAAACUCUUUUCAUAAUGCAACCAAUGGAAUCAAGGACCAAUCAGGUAGGGGACAGGCUAGAUAUCAAAUUAGAUUUGUAACAUGCAUUUCAGAGACUCAUACCAUAGGUAGAUAGAUGUAGAUGUAAUAGAUUCUUGUCUAGCAGUUUAAAUAACAAAGAUGGUACAACCAAUUAUUUUGAUACAAUUCUAUCGAUAAAAUAGUUACUCACUGUUUUGUUUUUAGCCGUUAUGGUAUAAGUCUAUAUUUCAUUCCUACCGAGGCCAUCCCAAAGACACCUCAGGGUACUUGGUCAAAGAUAUUUCUCACCCCUGUGAAUUUACAAUGAAUUGUUUCCCCUUCCCAGGGCAGUUGACAACAUGUGGUCUAUGAGAAUAUACAGCUAUACUGAAGAUAAUGUUUGUUUUCAGCUUUGGGCAUUUACUAAACAGUUUUAUUGAUCUUCAGGCUGUCUAGAGGAUGGUAACGUUAAGAAUAGAACAAGACAUUGCUCUCAUAUUGAAAGAGCAUACAGACAAAAUGAGGGCACUUGUGAUGUUGCUGGAUUUGUUAUUUUCUCUUUCAGGUUUUUGUUGAAGCCAUCAUAAAAGGCCCAUGAUUCCUUAUACCUUAUUAAUGCAGUAUAAUGUGACAUGGAUGCACUCCACAAUGUAGCUCCAACCAGAUGAUACCUAAAAGGUAGUCAGAAUAAAAGGUAUUGAAAGGCCUCUCCAUGAAAAAGUUCAUUGUUUAAAGUUAACUCUGGGGCACAAUGCCCCCUGGUUUGUACUGUUAUGUUUAUCAUUCAUUAGAAAGGGCAAUUUCAUUUGUGACUCGAUUGAAAUAAGAUGAAUAAAGAAAAGACUGUAAUUGCACAUUUCCUGACAAGCAAGUCAGCAAAAAUAGCCCCUGUUUGCAUGUCCACUGCUCCUAAAAUAUACGCACAAUCAUUUUGGCAAAUAUUGUUUUGAAUAUUGGACAUGUUCAAAUUCAUUUUAAAAUUUACCUGACUAACGUUCGCUACUCUGUUCUGAAAUUAUAAGGUGUCUUCUUGAGAACACCUUGACGGUUUGAGAAACCAUAAAAAAUGACAUAAAACGUGAUACAAUUUUCUCAAAACAAACCUUUGUCCAUUCAAUAGUCUGAUACACAUUGGGAUAUUUUCAAAUGGUAGAUUGCCAUUCUUGCUAGGGAGGUCAACUUGUACUGGCAACAAGGGGGGUAUUUCACACUUGAUGAAUUUCUUUGCUUCAAAUGACCUUUGACCAUUGCAGUAAAAUUUUAUUUCACUUGAAGAGAAAUAAAUCACUGUUAAUAAGUUGAAAAUAUUUUAUUCAAAAUAAAAUUGAUACUGACCUGUAUAUCAAUAUUAUAAAUUUUACAUUAUCAACAAUUCUCUUUCACCUUGCAACUUCAUAAAGUGUAGGAGUUUCAAUUUAUUCUUCCCAUGAGCUGCAUGAUUGAAAUCAAAUCUGCUUUUUAUCAACUUAACAGGGAAUCUCUUUCAAAUGUAGAGAAAUCCAACUUCUUUUGCAAGCCUUUUAACCCUCUAUGAUGUCUGAGUCACGACAUUCAAACAGUUUGAUUGACACUUGUAUAUCUUGUGUUUAGAUUAUGUUAAUAGUUCUAUAGCCAAAUCAUAGUUAAGGGAAUAAUAUCACAAGUCAAUAGAAAGCAAUUAUAUAUGUUUCUUACACAGGUCUCAAGGCCCUGAAUCAAAACAUUUUAACCACUAAAGUUCAUUAGGGAUGGCUCAGUUGUAACAAGCUUGACUACAAAUCUAAAAGGACCAGCACAAUGCUUCUAUAAGCUUCACUUGGUAUUAUAUUAGAAGUACGCUUCUACAAGCUUAGCUAGAUACAAAUAUAGAAGAAAAGUCAAAGACAACUUGUUAUUUUCAUCCCCUAGCGUGACAAGGAACCGUUCAAAAGCCAUUCAUUGACAAAAGAUGUAACAUCAUCUGCUAAAUACUGCGUUGAUCCAGGCAAACGAGGGAAAAGCUUGAAUGUUUUAUUCAAUACACCUUGGGGGCAUGCUGGACUAGAGCAAGUGGAUCUAAUCGAAUGCUCAAAGGCGAAUGAGAGAUAACGAAUAAACAACUCCUGUUCAUUACCAUACAUGUUUAUUGUGUUGUUGACUGGUUCUAAUCCAUUCAUUUUGGCAAUGUGCAACUUAGCUUCAAGAUACUGGCACAGCGGCACGAAUCUAAAGACUUUAGCUAUUUCAUCAUUGUAUGCCAUGCUCCAAGCUGCACGAUAUGCGUUUGAAUGUGCGAGAUUUGCGACUGCUAGUAGCAUAAGCCAAUUAUCAACUGGGCAAGUAUUGGAGAGCUUGACAACUCUGUUCCCUGUUGCAAUAGAUCCUCCCCAUAAUGGUAUCGCUGACCGGUCUGCACUGCAGUUUCUAAUGUCGCAUCCUCCAGACAAGCAGAAUCUGCCAAUGCACGAUGUAGAAGCCGAUCAUCAACUUUCAGAAAGUCUUGUUGUAAGUACGCAGCUGGCAAAGUAUCCUAAUCAAUAACUGGAACGUAUUUGAAGA